UAAUAUGUUGAAUAUAAAAGGGCUGCU
rnacentral:piRNA from 1 species